rnacentral:rRNA from 1 species
GACGAACGCUGGCGGCGUGCCUAAUACAUGCAAGUAGAACGCUGAAGGAGGAGCUUGCUUCUCUGGAUGAGUUGCGAACGGGUGAGUAACGCGUAGGUAACCUGCCUGGUAGCGGGGGAUAACUAUUGGAAACGAUAGCUAAUACCGCAUAAGAGUAGAUGUUGCAUGACAUUUGCUUAAAAGGUGCAAUUGCAUCACUACCAGAUGGACCUGCGUUGUAUUAGCUAGUUGGUGGGGUAACGGCUCACCAAGGCGACGAUACAUAGCCGACCUGAGAGGGUGAUCGGCAACACUGGGACUGAGACACGGCCCAGACUCCUACGGGAGGCAGCAGUAGGGAAUCUUCGGCAAUGGACGGAAGUCUGACCGAGCAACGCCGCGUGAGUGAAGAAGGUUUUCGGAUCGUAAAGCUCGGUUGUAAGAGAAGAACGAGUGUGAGAGUGGAAAGUUCACACUGUGACGGUAUCUUACCAGAAAGGGACGGCUAACUACGUG